UACGUAGGUGGCAAGCGUUGUCCGGAUUUACUGGGCGUAAAGAGCGCGCAGGCGGCUGGUCAAGUCCGAUGUGAAAUCUCCCGGCUCAACUGGGAAACUGCAUCGGAAAACUGAUCGGCUUGAAGGUGGGAGAGGGUAGUGGAAUUCCCGGUGUAGUGGUGAAAUGCGUAGAUAUCGGGAGGAACACCAGUGGCGAAGGCGCUACCUGGCCCAUUCUUGACGCUGAGGCGCGAAAGCUAGGGGAGCGAACGGG
rnacentral:rRNA from 1 species